rnacentral:rRNA from 1 species
UACGUAGGGAGCAAGCGUUGUCCGGAAUCAUUGGGCGUAAAGCGCGCGUAGGCGGCCCGAUAAGUCCGCUGUGAAAGUCAACGGCUCAACUGUUGGAUGCCGGUGGAUACUGUCGGGCUAGAGUACGGAAGAGGCAAGUGGAAUUCCUGGUGUAGCGGUGGAAUGCGCAGAUAUCAGGAGGAACAGCCGGUGGCGAAGGCGGCUCACUGGCUCGUAUCUGACGCUCAGGCGCGACAGCGUGGGGAUCAAACAGG